GAUGAACGCUGGCGGCGUGCUUAACACAUGCAAGUCGAACGAAGCACUUUAUUUGAUUUCCUUCGGGACUGAUUAUUUUGUGACUGAGUGGCGGACGGGUGAGUAACGCGUGGGUAACCUGCCUUGUACAGGGGGAUAACAGUUGGAAACGGCUGCUAAUACCGCAUAAGCGCACGGCAUCGCAUGAUGCAGUGUGAAAAACUCCGGUGGUAUAAGAUGGACCCGCGUUGGAUUAGCUAGUUGGUGAGGUAACGGGCCACCAAGGCGACGAUCCAUAGCCGACCUGAGAGGGUGACCGGCCACAUUGGGACUGAGACACGGCCCAAACUCCUACGGGAGGCAGCAGUGGGUAAUAUUGCACAAUGGGCGAAAGCCUGAUGCAGCGACGCCGCGUGAGCGAAGAAGUAUUUCGGUAUGUAAAGCUCUAUCAGCAGGGAAGAUAAUGACGGUACCUGACGAAGAAGCACCGGCUAAAUACGUG
rnacentral:rRNA from 1 species